CGUUUUAUAUAUUUCUUCCUGUGGAGAUCUUUUGGAGAAGCACUCUGAAUCACACCCUCUCUCGCAGGUACAUUCUCGUCUCGCUCGUUGUGCUCGUUUUAUUCCAACUUAUGCCCCUCCGGUAUAAAGUUUUGCGCCUCAACUCCUUGAUGAUGAUUUUGCGGUCACUCGUGUUUAAUCCUUGGAGACAUGUGUCGAACACGAAUUUCGUUUGCACUGGAAUAUAAAUACCUAUAAGGACCUUCGGUCCUGGGCCAUAUUUGCCACAGACAGCUUGUCGAUCUUUAUAAUGUUGUAAUUGAAAACUUUUUCCCUUCCGUCGUCCGACGUCCUACGUGUCUAGCUCUUUUGUUUCCUCCUAGAAAAAAC
rnacentral:lncRNA from 1 species